UGCGUGUCAACCAUGUGUGUCUAGAUGUAGAUUACUGAUUACAUGGCAAUUGCAUGUCCAGUGUAUUUCAGUCUCAUGACAUUCACAUGUUAAUUGAUGCCGAACACGUGUAUUCACAUGUUGAUGCUAGAGACAGUAUUAUAAAACAAGCGUAAAUGCAAUGUGUAAUUAUAGACAUGUAUCUCCCCUUUCCAAAUAGUCUUUCUUAGCUGGCACUAAUUUAAUCCUACUUCUCUGUUUUUUAGGAUUUUCUAGGACUCCUCUAGCUGCUAGAGCUUACUUCCUACCGGAGCUCGUGCCAUCUACAAAUUGUCCGUACAGCACAACUCCCACACAGCCGUCCAUUCUUGAGCUUUUCCCACACUAACAACUCUCUGUUCAGGAACUGACUAUGUCCUCACAUCUUCCUCACAUAUUAUCAAUACCGCUUUCAGAGGCAAAGGGAGUGAAAAGUAAAAAUGGAGGUGGGCAGAAAUCUAAAUUCUUUUUCUUCUCUUUGUUAAGGAGGAAAAUCGAUGGUUCAACCGUACGUCCAAAGGGCCGUCGAUUUAGACACAGCCCUGGAGUCCAGCCCCCUCCUUGCAUCAACGAGAAAACUGAGGAUUGGAAAAAUCGUGGCUUGUCUGAGGCUACAACAUUAAUGGCAUUGGAUGUGAAUGCAAAUCCUUUGACUCCAAGAGACUGGGUGUCUUCUCUGGCUCAUUUCUGUCCUCAGGGAACAAUGUAGCUUCCUCAUCCUCAUCAGCCACUUGAUGAGACUGAACAGCGUCAGCCUGACUCUCGCUUGAAUUUGUAUUAUCUUCCUACGAAAUGGCAAAUCCUCUUCGUGGCUUUCAUAUAGCAUGCAUUAGUCUUGAGCAGGGGGUGGUCUUGGCCAGUUCUCCUCCAUUUCCGUACUGCUUCCCCUCCACACAGCACCCCACAAACCAUGAUGAACGUAUGACACAAUACUCUAUAAUAAAAUCUGCAGUAAGUGUGAGAAAAUUGCCCA
rnacentral:lncRNA from 1 species